rnacentral:rRNA from 1 species
GAUGGUAGUGUAUUGGACUACCAUGGCAGUAACGGGUAACGAAGAAUUAGGGUUCGAUUUCGGAGAGGGAGCAUGAGAAACGGCUACCACAUCUAAGGAAGGCAGCAGGCGCGUAAAUUACCCAAUCCUGACUCAGGGCGGUAGUGACAAGAAAUAGCAAACCGGGAACCUCAUGGUUUCACGGUAUUGCAAUGAGAACAAUUUAAAACCCUUAGCGAGAAUCAAGUGGAGGACAAGUCUGGUGCCAGCACCCGCGGUAAUUCCAGCUCCACUAGCGUAUAUUAAAGUUGUUGCAGUUAAAAAGCUCGUAGUUGAACCUCUGUCUGGGGCUAGUUUUGGCUUUGGUCAGGCUAGUUCUAGGCAUCCGCCUACAAGACUUAGAGGGCAUUCAGUUGUUCACUAGGAGGAGUAGGCAUUUUACUUUGAAAAAAUUAGAGUGUUUAAGGCAGGCAAUCGCCCGCAUAUAUUAGCAUGGAAUAAUAGAAUAGGACACUUUUCCAUUUCGUUGGUUAUUGGAAUCGUGUAAUGAUUAAUAGGGACAGUUGUGGGCAUUUGUAUUUAAUUGUCAGAGGUGAAAUUCUUGGAUUUAUUAAAGACAAACUAACGCGAAAGCAUUUGCCAAGGAUGUUUUCAUUAAUCAAGAACGAAAGUUAGGGGAUCAAAGACGAUCAGAUACCGUCCUAGUCUUAACUAUAAACUAUUCCGACUCAAUGUUUGACUGGCUUAUAUAACCAGUUGAGCGUUGUAUGAGAAAUCAAAGUCUUUAGGUUCUGGGGGGAGUAUGGUUGCAAAGCUGAAACUUAAAGGAAUUGACGGAAGAGCACAACCAGGAGUGGAUUCUGCGGCUUAAUUUGACUCAACACGGGGAAACUUACCAGGUUAAAACAAUAGUGGGAUUGACAGUUUGAGAGCGCUUUCUUGAUUGGUUGGGUGGUGGUGCAUGGCCGUUCUUAGUUGGUGGAGUGAUUUGUCUGCUUAAUUGCGUUAACGAACGAGACCUUAACCUGCUUACUAGACUGGCGAUCAUCAAUCGUUAGCUCUUCUUAGAGGGACUUUGGUUGUUUUAACUCCAAGGAAGUUUGAGGCAAUAACAGGUCUGUGAUGCCCUUAGAUAUCCUGGGCCGCACGCGUCACACAAUGACUAGUUCAGAAAGUUUUCUCCUGACCCGAAAGGGGAUGGGUAAUCUUGAUAAUACUAGUCGUGUUAGGGAUCGAUCUUUGCAAUUAUAGAUCUUGAACGAGGAAUUCCUAGUAAGUGCGGUUCAUCAGACCGUACUGAUUACGUCCCUGCUCUUUGUACACACCGCCCGUCGCUUCUACCGAGUGGGUGGUCCGGUGAAAUAAUUGAACGG